rnacentral:rRNA from 1 species
CAACGCUGGCGGCGUGCCUACACAUGCAAAGUCGAACGAGAAAGUGGGGGCAACCCUGCGAGUACAGUGGCAGACGGGUGAGUGACACGUGAACAACCUACCCUCGAGUGGGGAAUAACACCGCGAAAGCGGUGCUAAUACCGCAUAACAUCUUAGGGUCGCAUGAUUUUAAGAUCAAAAGCGCAAGUUGCUUGAGGAGGGGUUCGCGCCUGAUUAGCUAGUUGGUGAGGUAACGGCUCACCAAGGCAACGAUCAGUAGCCGGCCUGAGAGGGCGGACGGCCACACUGGAACUGAGACACGGUCCAGACUCCUACGGGAGGCAGCAGUGGGGAAUUUUGCGCAAUGGGCGAAAGCCUGACGCAGCAACGCCGCGUGGAGGAUGAAGGCCUUCGGGUCGUAAACUCCUGUCGAUGGGGACGAAAGCCUCGCAAGAGGUUUGACUGUACCCGUUGAGGAAGCCACGGCUAACUCCGUGCCAGCAGCCGCGGUAAUACGGAGGUGGCAAGCGUUGUUCGGAAUUACUGGGCGUAAAGGGCGCGUAGGCGGCCUGACAAGUCAGAUGUGAAAGCCCCGGGCUUAACUCGGGAAUUGCAUCUGAAACUGUUUGGCUUGAGUCCUGGAGGGGGUAGUGGAAUUCCCAGUGUAGCGGUGAAAUGCGUAGAUAUUGGGAGGAACACCUGCGGCGAAGGCGGCUACCUGGACAGUGACUGACGCUGAGGCGCGAAAGCUAGGGGAGCGAACGGGAUUAGAUACCCCGGUAGUCCUAGCUGUAAACGAUGGGCACUUGGUGUUGGGGGUAUUGAGUCCCUCGGUGCCGGAGUAAACACGUUAAGUGCCCCGCCUGGGGAGUACGGUCGCAAGACUGAAACUCAAA